GACAGAGGGUGCAAGCGUUGUUCGGAAUCAUUGGGCGUAAAGGGCGCGUAGGCGGUUUGGUAAGUCAGAUGUGAAAGCCCAGGGCUCAACCUUGGAAGUGCAUCUGAGACUGCUGAACUAGAGUAUCGGAGAGGGUGGUGGAAUUCCCAGUGUAGAGGUGAAAUUCGUAGAUAUUGGGAGGAACACCGGUGGCGAAGGCGACCGCCUGGACGAAUACUGACGCUGAGGCGCGAGAGCGUGGGGAGCAAACAGG
rnacentral:rRNA from 1 species